rnacentral:lncRNA from 1 species
CCCAAGUUAUCCAAUCAUUCUUUGAUCAUGAUAGGGUGAUUAACCACGAUGGUCACACCUUGUCUUUGCUAUCAAUUCAAGUCACAGAGCUUGUGGACGGCAUCUUCAUUGGAUGUUCCAUAAAUCACAGCAUGGUUGAUGGAACCUCUUUCUGGCAUUUCUUCAACGCAUGGUCUGAGGUAUUCACUGCACAGGAGAAGAAUAGUCCCAUAACACUGUCACGCCCACCCAUCCUCAAGCGCUGGUUUCCUGAUGGCUAUGGUCCAAUUAUCAACCUUCCUUUCACUCACCAUGAUGAGUUCAUCAGCAGAUUUGAAGCACCCGUACUCAGAGAGAGAAUUUUCCACUUCUCAUCAGAAUCAAUAGCAAAGCUCAAAGCAAAGGCAAAUGCACAGUGCAACAGCAACAAAAUCUCCUCUUUCCAGGCAUUGUCCGCACUUGUCUGGAGGUCCAUAACACGAGCGCGCUGUUUCCCACAUGAGCAGGUAACCAGUUGCAGGCUGGCCAUCGGUAACAGAACAAGAUUGGACCCGCCCUUGCCGGAGAACUACUUUGGGAACUCAAUUCAAACGGUGAGAGGCAUUGCCACUGCUGGUGAACUGCUUGAACAUGAUCUUGGGUGGGCAGCCUGGCUCUUGCACCAGGCUGUGGUCGGUCACACUGACAAAGCUGUGCGUGGCUGGCUUGAGUCAUGGUUUCAAUCCCACUUUAUUUAUCAGUUAGGCCUGUUUUUUGACCCCAAUAGCGUAAUGAUGGGGAGCUCGCCCAGAUUUAACAAGUAUGGAAUUGAGUUUGGACUAGGGAAAGGAUUGGCAGUUCGGAGCGGUUACGCACACAAGUUCGAUGGGACAGUGUCAUGUUACCCGGGACGUGAAGGAGGAGGAAGCAUAGAUUUGGAGGUGUGCCUACCGCCAAACUCGAUGAGUGCUCUUGAAUCCAACCAGGAGUUCAUGGAGGCUGUCUCUUUGUCCCCUUAGGUACUUAGUUUUCACAUAUGUAAUCUGCAUAAACUAAUGAUGUAAACUUCAUUAGUCUCUGUUUUUCUGUUUCUUCCUUGAAUAAGCACUUGUCUAUGUACGGACGUCCUUCAUAUAUUGCAAAUUCAGAUAAUAUGAUGUGAUAUCGAGGCAAAGUAAUUAUAAAGCAAAUGUUAAGUUGUUAUGUCAAGCUACCAAACAGUUCCACAUCAUAUCUGCUAAACCUAAUAUAAGACUAUAUGCCCCCUCCACGCACAACAAAGAUAGGACUUUAUAGAAGGAUGGUCAGCUUAUCUUAUGGAAGGUCAAAGCUCGACUUAUUUAAUGGUUAUUCAAUUCACUUCAUCUGUAAACAUGGACAUUUCGGACUAGAUGCCAGCCACUCUAAUAAUUGAGCAAUGAACUCCAGUUUCCAGCUGCAGAUUUCAGUACUCCAUAUUUAACUAGCAAGAAUAUUAUUGAUUGAUUUAAGCUUUCCCUCCUGCAAAAUUAGCAUACAACAGAUACGCGGUGAAGAGCUGUUAACAGCUUCAUCACACCCCAAGAGUCAAAGGCCAUGAGAACCCAAUUUUUUGGACUUUAUUUGCUAGUUCUCAUCAACCAUAGGCUAUAGCACCAUGAGGGACUUUAUUUGGAAUUUGGUAGUAGGAGCAAAAUUCAAACGGAGAAAAAAAAUAAUCAGAUUAUAGAAUGAAAUUGACUACUUACAUCAUCAACAUUGAGAGGCUCCUUGAGAUGUCACACCAUCUGCAGAGUGGUUUAACAAACAGAAUCCUAGCUUUCUCAUUUUGGUGGUCUGUGAAGUACCUAGCUCCCGUUAUAACAGUCCAGGUAACAUAUCACUAAACUCAUGCUUUUAUGUGGAAAAAACUAUUAAAUAAGUUAGUAGUACUUGCAUCCAAAAAUAUAAAGACCUGAGAUCAGACCUUGGGAGUUGUAACCUCAUUAAACUGCACAUGCGCCUAUGGGAAAGAAAAAGAGGAAAAUUAAGUUGUUCUUGAUGCCAUCAAUUAACAACAGCAAAUUGAGCAGUGGAAGUCCAUUGGAAAUGGGAGACAAACUACAUUUUGUAUGAAUAACAAUAACAGAAUAAUACAAACCAGCUAAAAGUUGAGCCCCAUCGAUUCUUCAGUGGGAUGAUCAAGGGGGUAUGAAAAAGCAACCAAAGAUCAAUCCUUCAGAAGUUCAAAAAGAUUAGGGACAGAGCAGAGUAGAAACGAAGUCAAACAGGCCUUACUAAAUCCUAGUGCAGGAAAGCUAAGCAUUCCCCUUGAAUGGUCCUAAAAUUUACAUGUCAUGCAAAAGUGAGGAGCACAGAUAACUUUCUAAAUUUAAAUCUAACAAGAAACUGAAUAUCAGCCCGCUAGCAUGGACAAAAAGUCAAUAAUCUCAGACUAAAAGAGGAGAAAAUAAUUUUUCAGGACAGUAGUUAUUUCAAGAGGCUGAGAAGUUUCCCCGAAACCUCUUUGUAUGCCCACGCACUGAUAGCUAUCCGAUUUUGUCCUAUUUAUUGCAUAUAAACUGCAUCCCCUUGACGGCUGAAAUGCCGAAACUGCAAGAAAUCAUUAAGGAAAUAAAAUAAAUACAAUAAAGGGAAAAGCUACUUCAAUGUUGAAGAAUUUCUGUGUGAGAAACCUACAGGACAUUAGCGAUAAUUACAAUGCAAUUUGGUUGUUAUAUGAGGGCCCAAGAAAGACAACCAGAGAAGCUUCAAGAAGACAUGAUGUUAGAAGCUGAUAUUCAACCAUGAAGAUCCUUUGAAAGGCCCAAGAAAGACAACCAGAAAAAGCCUCAUGAUGUUUAGCAGCUGAUAUUCAACCAUGAAGAUCCUUUGAAAGGCCCAAGAAAGACAACCAGAAAAAGCUUCAGGAUGUUAGCAGCUGAUAUUCAAUCAUGAGGAUCCUUUCAAAUCUGUGUACCCCUCAGAGCUUAGCUUCAGCCAAAUGUUCCAUGAGGGCCUUUUUGAGGAAAGGGAUCGCUCUUAAAACAUUGAAUGAAGCAUGGCCACAAGUUAGAGCCUAACUUAGAUUCUUCAAAGCAAUCUCAUAUACAUUCCAAAGCUUUUACUGAGCUUUCCUCGUUUAAAUGGUAUCACAGCCACUCCCCAGUGGGACUGUUAGCAGGCUUAAACCCUUUUCCCUCUAUAACUCCUUCCCAACUAAAGCAUUUCCAGAUUCACAUUCUUAUUAACUUCCACAAUUAUUAACUGUCUCCAUUGAUCGUCAAGAACAUGUAGCAAUCAACUGAGUAAUUCGCAACCCUUAGAGCAUCAUAUACAUUACGAGCCUAAAUCCUUGCAACUGAACCUUUCAGAAAAAUUGGUAGUUUAGCAUUGUAUUAGAACAAAGAUGAACUUGACGGCUGGACCUGAUCUUUUGUUUUCUAUAAAAUUGAAAUACUUAUGUCAUAAAAUUCAGUAAUGUACCAUCCUUAUUUAAUUUUUUUUAUUUUUUUAUUUUUCUGUUGUCAUGGUGCACCGUUGAAUUGAAUCAUGGACACCGCUGGACAAGCAUACGACGACUGUAAGAAUUUUAUCUCGAGAUUUUUUUUGACAAGUGGCUUUCGAGUUAGGGGCAACUACCAAGCGAAUUUAGAAUACGGAUACAAGUUGGCCUUUCAAUAUUGAAUUAUGCAGAUGAUGGGUGAUGCUUCCGGGGUCACGUUGGUAAAAAAAACACAAGAAAUGAGCAACCCUACGAUACUUCCUUUACUGCAAAACAAUUAAGCUUAUGUUGCGACUUGUGACUUCUUAGCAGUCAAAACACUGUUCAUAUUUUGACUUCAACCGCGGAAAAGGUCAAAAUGAUAUUUCAAGGACAAUAAUUAAAAGAAUUGACCUGCCCCUCAGCCCCUCCUUCCGCCUGUCUGGAGGUCCAUAACACAAGCACGCUGUUUACCACAUGAACAGGAAAUCAGUUGCUGCUUGGCCGUCAAUAACAGAACAAGAUUGGACCCGCCCUUGCCGGAGAACUACUUCGGGAACUCCAUUCAUACAGCCAAUGCCCAUUUCAGCUUUGGCUUCAGCUCUUGCAAAUGCAACACCUGAUCAGCAAAGAACAGUAUGCCCAUUACCCUAAUUAUUGAUGAUACCUUAGUUUGCGUUGUAUUAGUAGCCUUUUACGUAAUUUUCUUUUUCUUCUGCUCUCAUUAUUGUCGAUACCUUAGUUUGCAUUGUAUUAGGAGCCUAAUUUCUUUUAUUUUAUUUUAUUUUUUAUGGUGCUCAUGUUGUUGUUUCCGUUUUUAUUUUUAUGGUGGCUAGAUGCUGGGCGAAAGUUUGUACCCUCUCGUGGAUCAGCUGGAGCAUGAGAUGGCAGCCAAAGUGACAGGCAUGCUUCUGGAUAUGGGCCAGACUGAGUUUUUGCAUCUGCUCGAGUCGCCAGAGGCUUUGAAGUCCAAGGUUGCGGAGGCCAUGGACGUCCUGAGGAAUGUUGCUCAGCAGCAGGCUAACAGACCGAACAACUAUCCUCACUGUCCCUGAAUGAUAGCCUUGUUCCCUGAGUGUGUUGGGUGGGACUUGAAUGUGGUUCCAGCAGUUUAAAUUAAGUUUCUCUGCUAGUGAAGGCUCUAGAUUUCAUUUGAUAUGGAGUUACAUUAGCCAUAGAAUUCUGAAGUUUGAAACAUAUUGUGUGUGCUGGUUUUUGGUGAUAAAGUUUGGGAUGCUAUAUACUCUAUGUUUUGAUAUUGACAAUAGAGUGUUCUAUUGAGCAAUUUAUUAUGUGGGUAAUGUCAUGCAUGAUAUCCAUCCUCCAAAUACCUUUUAAAAGAAUGGGUCCAUCUAUGGCUGCCAGUCUUUCUUGCAGGGCAACCUUUAAGAAAGGAGAGCCAUAAUUUUUGCAAAACCGAUUCAGAAUAAUAAUGGUUAAGUUGUCUUUUCAACAUUUUGAUAUUAUUGUUAUGCAGGUUAUGCUUCUACAUCUAGUUUAAUUCAAUAAAAGGACACCGUGAAAGGUGUAAGACAAAACAAGAAAAAGAGCAUGUCUACAACACAUCCUUACUGCAAGUCUGCAAAGCAAUUAGGGCUGUGUUCUGAGCAGUCAAAACACUGGUUUAUACCUACAGGUUAUUAUUAUUACAACUUAAAUUCACAGCAUUGUUUCAUAUUUUGAUUGGAUCUAGUCUUUAUCAGCAACUGCGGGGAAAAGGGUAAAAUUACAUUACAAGGACAGUCGUUAAAAUAAUUGUCCUGCUCAUAUGCAGCUACAUCAACCAGAGCCACCCAUUAAGAAUGGAAGGGAGAAGCUGAAGAUAAGCUAUUGGCUUCCCUGAACAGAGGAACUCCUCGGUGGUCUAAUGGCAACUCCGACUGUUCGGCUCAUCUCAGAAUGCUUUAUCAAACCAAAGUUCACUUCAGAAGAGACAAAGGAGCCCUGUUACCUCACACCAUGGGACCUUGCCAUGCUCUCCGUCAAUUAUAUCCAAAAGGGCCUUCUCUUUAGCAAACCACCUCUGUGGAUUAUCCACAAAACUUCAUGGCAACUCUCUUGGACAGGCUCAAGGAUUCUCUCGCUCUCACACUCGACCAUUUCUACCCACUUGCAGGCCGCCUUGCAACAAAGAAGGAGGACAGUUCACCCUCUUACGUGGUCUUUGUAGAUUGUAACAACAGUCCCGGAGCGAAAUUCAUCCACGCAGCUGCAUACAUGACACUAUCUGACAUCGUUUCACCAAUUUAUGUACCCCAAGUUAUCCAAUCAUUCUUUGAUCAUGAUAGGGUGAUUAACCACGAUGGUCGCACCUUGUCUUUGCUAUCAAUUCAAAUCACAGAGCUUGUGGACGGCAUCUUCAUUGGAUGUUCCAUAAAUCACAGCAUGGUUUAUGGAACCUCUUUCUGGCAUUUCUUCAAUGCAUGGUCUGAGGUAUUCACUGCACAGGGGAAGAAUAGUUCCAUAACACUGUCACGCCCACCCAUCCUCAAGCGUUGGUUUCCUGAUGGCUGUGGUCCAAUUAUCAACCUUCCUUUCACUCACCAUGAUGAGUUCAUCAGCAGAUAUGAAGCACCCGUUCUCAGAGAGAGAAUUUUCCACUUCUCAUCAGAAUCAAUAGCAAAGCUCAAAGCAAAGGCAAAUGC